CCGCGCUGUUGGCUGCGCAGCUUCCAGGUGUCCGCUCUACUGGUGAGACGGCGUCGGGAGACGCUCUCCUCAGCUCCUUGCCUGGGUGGGCAAGUCACGCUCUAGGGCCAGCAGAAAUCCUCGUUUAAGGGUCCCACCGAGUUCCCCGGUCAGAGUGCGGCAGCUGAGCAGAGCGGCUGCUUGGGACUACUGCUCGGGCGCUGCAGAAAGCCUUCUUGGAAUCUGACAUGUUAUCACUUUGGGACUGUGGGCCAGCUGCUCCUGACGUGGCCACAUGAAGGCUCAGACUGUUCCAGUCUCUGAACUGAAGAGAACCAACACUGUUAGCAUAUCUCUCACCACCAUGAAUGCAAGGUAUUUCAAUGAAGAGUAUCAGGAGGACAUCUACAAAUCCCAGACCGGCAUGUGCAAGCUCUGAGGAAUGGGAAUAACCCAGUGUAUCUGGGUGGCCUUUGGAGAAAGCUGAGACAGAGCUACAACAGGGCAGUGGCUGACACCCAAAUCAUAGCCCAUCUU